UACGAAGGGGGCUAGCGUUGUUCGGAUUUACUGGGCGUAAAGCGCACGUAGGCGGAUUGUUAAGUCAGGGGUGAGAUCCCGGAGCUCAACUCCGGAACUGCCUUUGAUACUGAGAAGCUUGAGUCCGGGAGAGGUGAGUGGAACUGCGAGUGUAGAGGUGAAAUUCGUAGAUAUUCGCAAGAACACCAGUGGCGAAGGCGGCUCACUGGCCCGGUACUGACGCUGAGGUGCGAAAGCGUGGGGAGCAAACAGG
rnacentral:rRNA from 1 species